CAGCUACUAUUAACGAGUGUCUGGAAUAUGUUCCUGGCAUUUCACCUACACUCUCUCCAGUCCUUCCAAGAAACUCACAAAGCAGGGCUUUUUCUUGAACUUCUCUUCCUCACAACAGUUAAAUCAUUCAUUUAAAGAUGUCAGACAACCUCAGUGUUCUAAGCCAGUCCAUCAAUUUAACUUGUAAAAUUACCAACUGUUGCUACACACAGGCAAAGGAAUUAAACUUGGUAGCUGAUCAUUUAAUUACAUCUAUCAGUCUACUGAAGGGCUUCAAAGCAGAGUAGGUGGAAUUCAUGGUUCAAAUCAGAGUAUUAAUGGGAUCUGUUUGCACACCAAUACCUGAUCUCCUUGGCACAAAUACAGAGCUGAUUCUUAAAGCAUGUCCCCACAAUAAAGCUUUUCUUAAUCAUU